rnacentral:rRNA from 1 species
GAGACCAAGUGGUACUGUGUGUGGAGGAGUGGAACAGAGAAGAGGAAGGUUCUAGGUGGUGCGGUGCCAGCGGUACCCGGACCUGCCGCGCGGCCGGACGAGGUAGGGGUGAGUUUUAGAGCUCGCAGACACGCACCCCUCUGCCGCCGGUCUUUCUGCGUACCCCUUUGGGAUCGGCAGCAGUAGAGCGAGCAGGUCUAGACGAACCCAACCACCUCCAUACCGAUACCGCGACGCGUGGUACCGGCGCUUCGACUUCGUCUUCUAGAGGCGGCGACAGGUCACCCAAGCGCAGAGAAGAGUACGAGGCCGUGUACGACUAUGAUUGGAGCUGGGGAAACCGGAUCUCAAAGCGGCCCGUGACCUCUUCUAACAUCUCUUUGUGUCCUUCUCCGCCUCCUUGCUCCGGAACCGGACACGACGGCUGGAGAAGGACCCGAAGCGUUGGUCGAAGGUCGUCCAGAUGCGCGACCGCGUCACGCUGCAAAUGACGUCGUUGAUGCAGUGGGUCCGGCACGUCGCGUAGCGCCAGCUCACGCCGCCGCGGGGGAGGCCGGUCCAGAUGGAGCUGUUCACGAUGUAAUGGAUGUCGAUGAUGGGGGUGAUAAAGUAUUUACCAAGUAAUGUUAUCAAGAAAGACGUCAUUAAAGUCACAAAGUAUCUAAUUCUAAUGUAUACAUACAAGUACUUACUACUCAUCAAAGUCAGUAAAGGGUUGAACUUUCUUUGACCUUAUCCGUCAUCAUCCUGUUACUCAGUAGGACGUGAUCAUGUUCAUGUACUUGUUCAUCAUAACAUGCUCAGUCACAACUAAAACUUUAAACUACGAGAG